rnacentral:lncRNA from 1 species
UGACAAAGGAUUUUCCAUUUUGAACUUUCCUUAGAGUUAGGUAUUUUUGUGAUUUAACAUUUUAAUCAUUCUUUGUGUCCGAAGUGCUUUCAGGAAUGAUCAAACCUAAACAUUGGAGAGCAACAAAUAUAGAAGACCCUAACACUAGAAGAUUCAUAUGAUUUAAAGUGUAAAUGAAGUAAAAAACAAAUUAUGCAAAAACAGGCC